UGUAACUGUCAGGUGGCGGAUUGUCUGUUCGAUCUUCGAUCUUCGAUUCGUCAUUCGUGUUAGACGUGUAAUGUCAAUGUCAUGUAUGCUGCGACUGUGAUUGUGCAACUAACAUAAGAUUUCUUUGUGUUCCUACGUUCCCCAUGUCAUGAAUCGAGGCGAAAUGGGCGAAACAAAUUGUUGCUAAUUAUCAUGGCCAUGCUAAUUAUACUUAUAUUCCUGUGAUUUCAAAUACCAAAUUGAACUUCGUAUCUUAUAUGCAGCAUAGCUUCUGUCAGCCAUCCCAACAAGUUGACUUAGCGCUCAGUCACUUUCCAUCCAUUAGAUCCUCAUGCUGUCAAAAGCCUAAAACUCAUGUUUGAUGCACACAUAUAGUGGAAUGCAAAUGUGCGCAGAUAAGGUAUUUUCCCAUUACUGCUACCACAUCAACCACACUACGUCAGAUGUCUUACUAAAUCAUCACCCAUAAGAUAAAGCGUCAGGAAAUUUAUCCCACCUGAAGAGUAAUGCAGUUUGUUGCUGUAAUUCCAUUAUUACGGUUUUUCAUCAUGAACAUUUCAGUGUGCUUCUUAGAAAAGAGCAUGCAAGAUCCCCACGGACAUCCUUGAGCCAAUGGUUGAUUUUGUCCAUGACAGAAUAGGGACUUCCACCAACGUUCUGCUCCAUCCUUAUCUUCAAGACUUACGCUCAUCCAGCUUCACUACUUCAGUGCUUCUUAUGCUGCUUAACAACUUUUCUUGCUUCACUGGCGAGUUGGAUCACUUCAGUCUGUGACACACCUGCAGUCACUCACCACGGGAUUAUGGCCAGAUUUUCUUCUCCGACCGCAGGUGCAAGGAUUAUUAUGUGUUUGAAACUUAGAAAAGUUUGCAGUAGAAUAUUUAAAAAAACCGACUGUCCUUCAAACGGUUCGAAAUGGAAGAUUUAUUCAUUCACCGAAGAAACGAGUCAAAUGACUCAAAUGUCAAAUGUGGUAUUUUUAAAGUGACUAAAAUUUAAGACAUUAUCAUUUAUGAUUUGAUAUUUAUUUUGAUAUUGGUUUUUGUAGACCCAUC